rnacentral:misc_RNA from 1 species
UACGUAGGGUGCGAGCGUUAAUCGGAAUUACUGGGCGUAAAGUGUGCGCAGGCGGCCGAGCAAGUCGAGUGUGAAAGCCCCGAGCUUAACUUGGGAAUUGCGCUCGAAACUACUUGGCUGGAGUGUGGCAGAGGGAGGUGGAAUUCCACGUGUAGCGGUGAAAUGCGUAGAUAUGUGGAGGAACACCGAUGGCGAAGGCAGCCUCCUGGGCCAACACUGACGCUCAUGCACGAAAGCGUGGGGAGCAAACAGG